rnacentral:rRNA from 1 species
AUUGAACGCUGGCGGCAGGCCUAACACAUGCAAGUCGAACGCGUGGCGGACGGGUGAGUAAUGUCUGGGAAACUGCCUGAUGGAGGGGGAUCACUACUGGAAACGGUAGCUAAUACCGCAUACCCUCGUCAGCGCCCAGAUGGGAUUCGCUAGUAGGUGGGGUAACGGCUCACCUGGGCGACGAUCCCUAGCUGGUCUGAGAGGAUGACCAGCCACACUGGAACGGAGACACGGUCCAGACUCCGACGGGAGGCAGCAGUGGGGAAUAUUGCACAAUGGGCGCAAGCCUGAUGCAGCCAUGCCGCGUGUAUGAAGAAGGCCGUAGGGUUGUAAAGUACUUUCAGCGGGGAGGCGUUACCGACAGAAGAAGCACCGGCUAACUCCGUGCCAGCAGCCGCGGUAAUAC